CCUACGGGUGGCAGCAGUGAGGAAUAUUGGUCAAUGGACGGAAGUCUGAACCAGCCAUGCCGCGUGCAGGAAGACGGCUCUAUGAGUUGUAAACUGCUUUUGUACAAGGGUAAACCUGAAUACGUGUAUUCAGCUGGAAGUACUGUACGAAUAAGGAUCGGCUAACUCCGUGCCAGCCGCCGCGGUAAUACGGAGGAUCCAAGCGUUAUCCGGAUUUAUUGGGUUUAAAGGGUGGGUAGGCGGAUUGAUAAGUUAGAGGUGAAAUGUCCGGGCUUAACUCGGGAACUGCCUCUGAUACUGGUGAGCUAGAGAGUAGAUGCGGUAGGCGGAAUGUAUGGUGUAGCGGUGAAAUGCUUAGAGAUCAGACAGAACACCGAUUGCGAAGGCAGCUUACCAAUCUAUAUCUGACGUUGAGGCACGAAAGCGUGGGGAGCAAACAGGAUUAGAUACCCCUGUAGUC
rnacentral:rRNA from 1 species